rnacentral:rRNA from 1 species
AGAGUUUGAUCAUGGCUCAGAUUGAACGCUGGCGGCAGGCCUAACACAUGCAAGUCGAACGGUAACAGGAAGAAGCUUGCUUCUUUGCUGACGAGUGGCGGACGGGUGAGUAAUGUCUGGGAAACUGCCUGAUGGAGAGGGAUAACUACUGGAAACGGUAGCUAAUACCGCAUAACGUCGCAAGACCAAAGAGGGGGACCUUCGGGCCUCUUGCCAUCGGAUGUGCCCAGAUGGGAUUAGCUAGUAGGUGGGGUAACGGCUCACCUAGGCGACGAUCCCUAGCUGGUCUGAGAGGAUGACCAGCCACACUGGAACUGAGACACGGUCCAGACUCCUACGGGAGGCAGCAGUGGGGAAUAUUGCACAAUGGGCGCAAGCCUGAUGCAGCCAUGCCGCGUGUAUGAAGAAGGCCUUCGGGUUGUAAAGUACUUUCAGCGGGGAGGAAGGGAGUAAAGUUAAUACCUUUGCUCAUUGACGUUACCCGCAGAAGAAGCACCGGCUAACUCCGUGCCAGCAGCCGCGGUAAUACGGAGGGUGCAAGCGUUAAUCGGAAUUACUGGGCGUAAAGCGCACGCAGGCGGUUUGUUAAGUCAGAUGUGAAAUCCCCGGGCUCAACCUGGGAACUGCAUCUGAUACUGGCAAGCUUGAGUCUCGUAGAGGGGGGUAGAAUUCCAGGUGUAGCGGUGAAAUGCGUAGAGAUCUGGAGGAAUACCGGUGGCGAAGGCGGCCCCCUGGACGAAGACUGACGCUCAGGUGCGAAAGCGUGGGGAGCAAACAGGAUUAGAUACCUUGGUAGUCCACGCCGUAAACGAUGUCGACUUGGAGGUUGUGCCCUUGAGGCGUGGCUUCCGGAGCUAACGCGUUAAGUCGACCGCCUGGGGAGUACGGCCGCAAGGUUAAAACUCAAAUGAAUUGACGGGGGCCCGCACAAGCGGUGGAGCAUGUGGUUUAAUUCGAUGCAACGCGA